GGAGAGUUGUCCGAGCUGGUCUAAGGAGCACGACUGGAAAUCGUGUAAGUCGCAAAACGGCUUCGAGGGUUCGAAUCCCUUGCUCUCCGCCA
rnacentral:tRNA from 1 species